CUAGGGAAAACCCUGAUUAAUCUUAUUAACCAAAAUGACCUGUUCUCAUUUUUUUUUUUGUGAGACACACAGAUGCACACACAUUUUGUUUGACAUGUUUAUGUCUUUACUGUAGAUUGUUUUCCAAGCUGGCACAGACCCUGUUCAGUUGAUCAUCAUGCACCUGUGCAGCAGGCAAAGUGCUAUGCAACCAUCUCGUGGUCAUGCUGUUUCAGAGUGCCCAUUACAGCAUGAUGCAGAUGAAGGCGGUACCACUAACUAUGGCUUGCACAAGCACUCUGCAAACAUGGCAUCUGCCACAGACACAGGGGAUCUGUGCAGAGCCUAUUCAGGACUUGGUGGUUAAGAAACCAAAGCCAUCUGCCAGGAGCGUAUGUAAAUCAACGCUCUAUCAAGCAUACACAGGAUCCCUCCCUGACCCAUCAGUCUUGUCCCUUGGGGAAAGACUAAAAAGCCUCAGACCCCAACCGCUAAUAUCCUCGGUGCUGCAUGGCUUGUCUGAGCUUUCACUGGUUGACUCUAGGUUUGGACCUGUGCCACGAGGUUCACCACUGUCUUAUCAGUGUCCUCCUGUUGUGGCCACAAGUCAUGUCAAACACCCAGAUGCCCCAGUAUUCCCCAAAAUCCCAGUAGAUGGUGCCAAAUUUUGUACUGCCAUACACUUUGUUCCAAGCUGCCACCAGUUCUUCCAUUUAGAGAGCCUAACUGUCACA